rnacentral:rRNA from 1 species
UACAGGGGGGGCAAGCGUUGUUCGGAAUUACUGGGCGUAAAGGGCUCGUAGGUGGCCAACUAAGUCAGACGUGAAAUCCCUCAGCUUAACUGGGGAACUGCGUCUGAUACUGGAUGGCUUGAGUUUGGGAGAGGGAUGCGGAAUUCCAGGUGUAGCGGUGAAAUGCGUAGAUAUCUGGAGGAACACCGGUGGCGAAGGCGGCAUCCUGGACCAACACUGACGCUGAGGAGCGAAAGCGUGGGGAGCAAACAGG